GGGCCUAUAGCUUAGACUGGUGGAGCGCCCGGCUGAUAACCGGGAGGUCGAGAGUUCAAAUCUCUCUAGGCCCA
rnacentral:tRNA from 1 species